rnacentral:lncRNA from 1 species
UGCCAUCUCCCAUUGUGAUGACACAGCCAAUGUCCCUCACCAGAGCCAAGCAGAUGUUGGUGCCAUGCUCUUGAACUUCUAAAAAUCCUGACCAUCUCUGGCAGCAGAGGCUUGUGCCUGUGGGACACUCAUGACAGAUGCAUGCCUGGAAGAUGUUCCCGUGAAUUCUGCCAUGGGAUGAUGACAGCCUACUUCAUGGCAGCAGCCUAGCCGACACAGCAGCAGAAGAGGCCCCAGCACAAGGAUGGAAGAUGCAAGGCCUCUUGAGACCUGCCUGGUCUUAGAAUGAUCACAGUAUCACCUCUGCACCCUCGUGGUACUGCAGUCACAUGAUCAAGGGAGGAAGUAGAGUCCUCUCUUAAUGGAAGUUGCUGCAAAGAACUUGCAGCCAUAUUGACAGUUUACACAUGGUGAAGACAAUCCUGUGUUCCAUCAAUAAGUAUUUCUGAGUUCCCCUGAAAUGACAUGCCU